rnacentral:rRNA from 1 species
CCCUUAGACGUUCUGGGCCGCACGCGCGCUACACUGACAAAGGCAACGAGCUACUCUUCACCGAAAGGUGUGGGUAAUCUUUUGAAACUUUGUCGUGCUGGGGAUAGAUCCUUGCAAUUUUUGAUCUUAAACGAGGAAUUCCUAGUAAGCGCAAGUCAUCAACUUGCGUUGAUUACGUCCCUGCCCUUUGUACACACCGCCCGUCGCUACUACCGAUUGAAUGGUUUAGUGAGGCCUUCGGAUCCGCGACUCGUUUGUGGAGAAGUUGGACAAACUCAGUCAUUUAGAGGAAGUAAAAGUCGUAACA